rnacentral:rRNA from 1 species
GAUGAACGCUGGCGGCGUGCCUAACACAUGCAAGUCGAGCGAAGCACUUUGCUUAGAUUCUUCGGAUGAAGAGGAUUGUGACUGAGCGGCGGACGGGUGAGUAACGCGUGGGUAACCUGCCUCAUACAGGGGGAUAACAGUUAGAAAUGACUGCUAAUACCGCAUAAGACCACAGCACCGCAUGGUGCGGGGGUAAAAACUCCGGUGGUAUGAGAUGGACCCGCGUCUGAUUAGCUGGUUGGUAAGGUAACGGCUUACCAAGGCGACGAUCAGUAGCCGACCUGAGAGGGUGACCGGCCACAUUGGGACUGAGACACGGCCCAAACUCCUACGGGAGGCAGCAGUGGGGAAUAUUGCACAAUGGGGGAAACCCUGAUGCAGCGACGCCGCGUGAGCGAAGAAGUAUUUCGGUAUGUAAAGCUCUAUCAGCAGGGAAGAAAAUGACGG